rnacentral:rRNA from 1 species
UACGUAGGUGGCAAGCGUUGUCCGGAAUUAUUGGGCGUAAAGCGCGCGCAGGCGGUCCCUUUAAGUCUGAUGUGAAAGCCCACGGCUCAACCGUGGAGGGUCAUUGGAAACUGGGGGACUUGAGUACAGAAGAGGAAAGCGGAAUUCCACGUGUAGCGGUGAAAUGCGUAGAGAUGUGGAGGAACACCAGUGGCGAAGGCGGCUUUCUGGUCUGUAACUGACGCUGAGGCGCGAAAGCGUGGGGAGCAAACAGG